rnacentral:tRNA from 1 species
AAUAAAAUGGCUGAGUGAAAAGCGAUAAACUGUAAAUUUAUUAACGAGAAAUUUCUCUUUUGUUA